CAACUCUUCUCUCUCUCUCUCUCUCGAAUACGCUCGUACUGCACUCAUUCUACUCAUAGUUAUAGACGGUUUGAAGAAUCAAAUUCCGAAACGAUGUACGAUCCUCAGCAUUUCGUAGAUUUGCAAGGAAAUUCCAAUUUCUUGGACCCCAAAUCAUGGCUCUCUGGCGACGAUAACUCUUCCCCGACUCUCCGACGUGCUCAGUCCCAACUCUCCGCCCACACUUCCCCCUCUGCUUCCACCACUGCAGCAGCCGGC
rnacentral:misc_RNA from 1 species